AUUUUAUUUAAGAGAGAAAGUGAGAAGAGAAAAUAAUAAAUAAAUAAAACACAAAUGCAAAACAAAAACAAAAAAAUAAGAACUAGAGAAAAAAAAUAAAAAAAUAAAAAAUAAAAAGUCCUUGAAAUUUGGAAUUUGGCAGCAGUAUUUUUUCCUUAAGAUACAACAUUAAUUAAAUUUGGCAAAGUUGGUUUUCCAUUGUAAAUAAUUCAUACAAACACAAAACAGAUAUUAAAGAAUGUAUAUGCAUUUUAGGCACAAAACAAGAACAAAAGGCAAUAAACAAUAAAC
rnacentral:lncRNA from 1 species